AUUUACACUUGUAGGCUGUUAUGCUUUCCAGAAAACUUUUUCCGUAGGUUGCGAAAGUGAUUAAUCUGCUGUUAAAACUGACAAAGAAGGUUCUCUGAUAAGAGAAAGAAUUAAAUGAGGAAUUUUUCUUUAAAAAAGCUCCACUGGUUCAACAGCCUCUCCUCCAGUUUCGACCCCAGUCACAGGACACAAGAGAAUGGUCAUCCCGAACCAACCCCCUCUAACAGCAACCAAAAAGUCUACAUUGAAACCACAGCCUGCACCCCAGGCUGGACCCAUCCCUGUGGCUCCAAUCGGAACACUCAAACCCCAGCCUCAGCCAGUCCCAGCCUCCUACACCACAGCCUCCACUUCUUCAAGGCCUACCUUUAAUGUGCAGGUGAAGUCAGCCCAGCCCAGCCCUCAUUAUAUGGCUGCCCCUUCAUCAGGACAAAUUUAUGGCUCAGGGCCCCAGGGCUAUAACACUCAGCCAGUUCCUGUCUCUGGGCAGUGUCCACCUCCUUCAACACGGGGAGGCAUGGAUUAUGCCUACAUUCCACCACCAGGACUUCAGCCUGAGCCUGGGUAUGGGUAUGCCCCCAA
rnacentral:sRNA from 1 species